rnacentral:rRNA from 1 species
GAUGAACGCUGGCGGCGUGCCUAAUACAUGCAAGUCGAGCGAACGGACGAGAAGCUUGCUUCUCUGAUGUUAGCGGCGGACGGGUGAGUAACACGUGGAUAACCUACCUAUAAGACUGGGAUAACUUCGGGAAACCGGAGCUAAUACCGGAUAAUAUUUUGAACCGCAUGGUUCAUAAGUGAAAGACGGUCUUGCUGUCACUUAUAGAUGGAUCCGCGCUGCAUUAGCUAGUUGGUAAGGUAACGGCUUACCAAGGCAACGAUGCAUAGCCGACCUGGGAGGGGAGUCGGCGACGGUGGGAGAGGAACACGAUCCAGACUCGAACGGGGGGCAGGAGUAGGGAAUCUUCGGAGGUGGGCGAGAGGCAGACGGCGCAACGGGGGGUAGGUGAAUGGGGUCACGGGACGGUAAAGCUCUAUUAUUAGGGAAGAAAAAAUGUGUUAAUAACUGAGGAAUACUACGGGAAACUAAAACAAAAGGCCGCGGCAAUCUACG